UACAGAGGGGGCAAGCGUUGUUCGGAAUUACUGGGCGUAAAGGGCGCGUAGGCGGCCUGCUAAGUCGAACGUGAAAUCCCUGGGCUCAACCCAGGAACUGCGUCCGAUACUGGUUGGCUUGAAUCCGGGAGAGGGAUGUGGAAUUCCAGGUGUAGCGGUGAAAUGCGUAGAUAUCUGGAGGAACACCGGUGGCGAAGGCGGCAUCCUGGACCGGUAUUGACGCUGAGGAGCGAAAGCCAGGGGAGCAAACGGG
rnacentral:rRNA from 1 species